rnacentral:rRNA from 1 species
UGCAAGUCGAGCGGGGAACUUAGUUAAGCGCAAGCUUUACUGAGUUUCCAGCGGCGAACGGGUGAGUAACACGUGGGUAACCUACCCAGAAGACUGGGAUAACGGUCUGAAAGGGCCGCUAAUACCGGAUAAUGUCAGCGUACCGCAUGGUAUGUUGAAGAAAAGGGGAACCCGCUUUUGGAUGGGUCCGCGUCCCAUCAGCUAGUUGGUAAGGUAACGGCUUACCAAGGCGACGACGGGUAGCCGGUCUGAGAGGAUGGUCGGCCACACUGGGACUGAGACACGGCCCAGACUCC